rnacentral:lncRNA from 1 species
GUGACACAAAGCAGUAAUGAACAUUAAGUCAUUCGUCAGAAGAUAACAUAAAGUCAUUAACACAAAGCAGUUCUAGUCUCCCAGCAACAGAAAAGCACUUCUAGUCUCCCAGCAACAGAAAAACACUUCUAGUCUCCCAGCAACAGAAAAUCACUUCUAGUCUCCCAGCAACAACAACAGAAGUACAGAACUGCCGUUUUAGUCACCGAUAAGAUUCGACCGGUCAGUUACAUACUGAUAACACAACUUCAUCUCUAAGUACAAAUUACAUACUACACUAUCACUAGACAGCUACAGGUUACAAUUUGCGGCUGUUGUUCUGAUUCCUACACAAGCCUGCUGCUCCGAGUAAAAUUUGCAACAGUUGCACCUGCAAGUUUUUGUAAUGAACAAGGAAUGUAUUGUUCAUAGCUUUAAAGGUAUAAUGACUGUCGAUAAGAAAAUAGUAGAUAACGUAAAUACUUACCUUGCAGAGAUUAACAAAAUUAACAGCAUUCAAGAUUACUAAUCACAGAAUUACAAUUCUUCAAAGCCUAGCAAAAUGAAACGAGCAACAUUAGCAAAAUGGAAAGAACAUUAGUGAAUGCACAAAUCAGUGGCAGUUCAUUAGUAAAACUAUGCUCAUUAAUCAUAAGACAGAACUAGUCUGAUAAUUGCAAUUAAGAUUUAAGGUCACUAACCAGUACCUUCAGAGUCAUCAUAAGGCAUCUCAUCAUCACAAGGUGGGCAGCAUUCGAAUUCAGAACUUGAUUCACCCAAAUCAGCACUUUUUGGUCCCUCCAUCUCGUCAAGCAACAACUUUAAACAAUCUUCUUUAACAGUGCUCUUAGAAGGCAUCUGAAACAUCGGACAUGCCGCUUGCAUAACCUUAUUAACACCUUCCAUCUCAACGAAUCCGAAUUGUAACUCAUCAAGAAUGAUCAUUUCAGCAACCAUCUUCCUCAAUCUAUCUUGGCUAAAUUGCCAGUUGCCACUAGUAGGCUGGAUGUUUGAAAUGUCCCUGUUGUUCUUACAACUCAAUGAAUGCGAGGAAAUACGAGUCUUAGCAGCAAGUAGGGUGUCACAAUGUAUGCACUCCAACUUUUUAAAUCCUUUGGCAUUCACAACUGGCCUGAAGUUAAUCCAAGUGACGGAUCCCUUUUGAUUCGGAUUGUCCACCAUUUCAAAGUUAAAAACAUCCAACAACGAAUCAACCAACAAACAGAAUAGAAGAUCGAAAAAUCGAGACGAAUAGAACAAUAAACAUAACCAGAUUAACAAAAGGAAUUUUGGAGUUCAAACUUGAUAUGCUAUCAGUUAACUAACAAACAAGCACAACAACAAAAACACUCAAAUGAACAACUCUUAUCAGUUUUAUCACAGAAAUGGAACCAAGCACAUAGAGACAUUACCUUUUAUCCCUUGCACAAACUUUUCUUCUUACUUUACCUAACAGUUAGCAUUAGUGAUGAUGAUAAUGGUUGCAGCUACUCCAAGUCUCCUGAGCUCCUGCAGAUAUUGAACAUAUUAACAUGUAUUUUUAUAUCCACAUUAACACUGUACGCAUCUUUUCAGUACAACAACAACAGAGACAUGGAAAGAAAGAACGGCAAUUAAAAGAAUCAGCUGCAAAAUAAAGAAC